AGUAACACGCGAAUCAUCUACCUUCGAGUGGGGAAUAACUGAGAGAAAUCUUAGCUAAUACCGCAUAAUACCUACGGGUCAAAGCAGCAAUGCGCUUGAAGAGGAGUUCGCGGCAGAUUAGUUAGUUGGCGGGGUAAUGGCCCACCAAGACGAUGAUCUGUAUCCGGCCUGAGAGGGCGCACGGACACACUGGAACUGAAACACGGUCCAGACUCCUACGGGAGGCAGCAGUGGGGAAUUUUGCGCAAUGGGGGAAACCCUGACGCAGCAACGCCGCGUGGAGGAUGAAGCCCCUUGGGGUGUAAACUCCUUUCGAUCGGGAAGAUAAUGACGGUACCGAUAUAAGAAGCCCCGGCUAACUUCGUGCCAGCAGCCGCGGUAAUACGAGGGGGGCAAGCGUUGUUCGGAAUUAUUGGGCGUAAAGGGUGCGUAGCGGUUUGACAAGUCUGAUGUGAAAUCUAUGGGCUCAAACCAUAGUCUGCAUCGGAAACUGUCGGGCUUGAGUAUGGGAGAG
rnacentral:rRNA from 1 species